GUUUUAUACAGACCAGGGUCUGUACCGACCCCGAGCUGGACUGAGGAGGUUUUAUUCAGACCAGGGUCUGUAUCGACCCCGAGCUGGACUGAGGAGGUUUUAUACAGACCAGGGUCUGUACCGACCCAGAGCUGGACUGAGGAGGUUUUAUACAGACCAGGGUCUGUGAUCAACCAAGAUGGACUGAGGAGGUUUUAUACAGAUCAGGGUCUGGACUGAGGAGGUUUUAUACAGACCAGGGUCUGUACCGACCCAGAACUGGACUGAGGAGGUUUUAUACAGACCAGGGUCUGUACCGACCCAGAACUGGACUGAGGAGGUUUUAUACAGACCAGGGUCUGUACCGACCCCGAGCUGCACUGAGGAGGUUUUAUACAGACCAGGGUCUGUACCGACCCCGAGCUGGACUGAGGAGGUUUUAUACAGACCAGGGUCUGUAUCGACCCCGAGCUGGACUGAGGAGGUUUUAUACAGACCAGGGUCUGUACCGACCCCGAGCUGGACUGAGGAGGUUUUAUACAGACCAGGGUCUGUACUGAGCUGGACUGAGGAGGUUUUAUACAGACCAGGGUCUGUGAUCAACCAAGAUGGACUGAGGAGGUUUUAUACAGACCAGGGUCUGUACCGACCCCGAGCUGGACUGAGGAGGUUUUAUACAGACCAGGGUCUGUACCGACCCAGAGCUGGACUGAGGAGGUUUUAUACAGACCAGGGUCUGUACCGACCCAGAGCUGGACUGAGGAGGUUUUAUACAGACCAGGGUCUGUGAUCAACCAAGAUGGACUGAGGAGGUUUUAUACAGACCAGGAUCUGUACCGACCCAGACCUGAACUGAGGAGGUUUUAUACAGACCAGGGUCUGUACCGACCCAGAGCUGGACUGAGGAGGUUUUAUACAGACCAGGGUCUGUACCGACCCAGAGCUGGACUGAGGAGGUUUUAUACAGACCAGGGUCUGUGAUCAACCAAGAUGGACUGAGGAGGUUUUAUACAGACCAGGGUCUGUACCGAGCUGGACUGAGGAGGUUUUAUACAGACCAGGGUCUGUAUCAACCCCGAGCUGGACUGAGGAGGUUUUAUACAGACCAGGGUCUGUACCGACCCCGAGCUGGACUGAGGAGGUUUUAUACAGACCAGGGUCUGUAUCGACCCAGAGCUGGACUGAGGGGUUUUAUACAGACCAGGGUCUGUACCGAGCUGGACUGAGGAGGUUUUAUACAGACCAGGAUCUGUACCGACCCAGAACUGGACUGAGGAGGUUUUAUACAGACCAGGGUCUGUAUCGACCCAGAGCUGGACUGAGGAGGUUUUAUACAGACCAGGGUCUGUACCGACCCAGAACUGGACUGAGGAGGUUUUAUACAGACCAGGGUCUGUACCGACCCAGAGCUGGACUGAGGAGGUUUUAUACAGACAGGGUCUGUGAUCAACCAAGAUGGACUGAGGAGGUUUUAUACAGACCAGGAUCUGUACCGAGCUGGACUGAGGAGGUUUUAUACAGACCAGGGUCUGUAUCGACCCAGAGCUGGACUGAGGGGUUUUAUACAGACCAGGGUCUGUACCGAGCUGGACUGAGGAGGUUUUAUACAGACCAGGGUCUGUACCGACCCAGAGCUGGACUGAGGAGGUUUUAUACAGACCAGGGUCUGUAUCGACCCCGAGCUGGACUGAGGAGGUUUUAUACAGACCAGGGUCUGUACCGAGCUGGACUGAGGGGUUUUAUACAGACCAGGGUCUGUACCGAGCUGGACUGAGGAGGUUUUAUACAGACCAGGGUCUGUACCGACCCAGAGCUGGACUGAGGAGGUUCUAUACCUGGUCUGUGUUCAACCAAGAUGGAAGAGGAACGACUCAAACAUCCGAAUCUUAGUGCCAAGGUUACCGUGGAAACAGAGGAGGGGAACUGAUUUGUCUAAG
rnacentral:lncRNA from 1 species